UCGAACCUGGUGGCUGGGCCAGGAACUCAUCCAGUCGGGAUCAUUGCCGGGGAAGAGUGUUAGGGUUUCGCAGGCCCCUGUUUGGUGAUUGUGCGCCUGGUUAUGGCGAUGCUGCGAUCGUAGGAGUGAUACGCAGGCUCAAUUUGUGUGUCGAAGUAGAAGCGGGUGACGCUACAGUGCUUUGGCAUGUUGGGUUUUCUCUGGGGUUGCUGUAUGUUGCGUCUUGUGUGAGGGCGGGAGCGGUCACAAUGGAUGGCACUCUGAACAUUGCGCAGAGGACGAAGAAGGUGGAUGUGGACAAUCGACUGCCAUUAAAGUAUUAUCACCGGACGGCAGAAAAACUUCUGAAGCAGGUGCCGGAUCGGAUCGCCGGUUUUUGGAGCAGCGUGAUGGUUCUUGGUUGAAAAUUUAGGGUAUUUGUUGUUUAAUUUGAAGAAGGUUCGCGGUGUGUAGUUUAUUCGGGGCUGAAUUGGGUGGGUUUCAGUCUCGAAUUUUUCGAGAUGCGGAGAAUACUAUCGAUUACUACAUUCUCCUGCUUCGAUUUUCCAGGUAAAUUGCGUGUUUGUCCAGUUUAGCAAGUGAUUUGAAAUUUGAGGGUUGGAAAUGGAUUACUUUUAUUUUUAUUUUGGUGUGAAGGUUUUAAUGUUUUUGAAUUUUCGGGUCAAGCUUUGCAGUUGGUUUCAUGAGGAAUUAGCCGUGACCUCUGCAAUUUCUAACAUACAUGGCCAUAUAUUAAGUAUUAACGCUGUAUCCAGCAUUUAAUUUGAGGUUAUUAUCUUCUGUCCACAUGCAUUGCAUUGCAUUACUUACGUGCAAUAUAUAACUUGCACGAUCUGUUAGCCUAAACUACAGAUCGAUUCAUAGCAUGAAAGAGGUACAAGGACUAAGUAUAUUAUCUUUGUAGAACUUUCGAAAGAACACUUCCGUGUAAUUCAGAUUAUCCUUCCCCAGGUCGGGGUGACUUAUGAGAAGUUUGAAUCCAUUUCAAGCAUCAGUUUCAAAUGACGAGUUACCUGGUGAACAAGAGAUGAAAUGGAUGUUAAGAGCAGCAAUUACCUUUGACCCUGGGACCUUGACAAAAAAUCUCGCAACCUUCACUGCCGUCGCCUUCUCUGCCACAGUCCUUUACGUCAUGUUCAGCAAGAUUAAGAGACCUCAAUAUCAUCACAUGGAAAGUCAAGUAUCACUUUCCGUCGACGAGGAUACAUCUGAUGAAGAUCACACCUCUCAAUGUGAGGUUCUAAGUCCAACCUCCAUUGUUGGCUGUAGAAAUGAAAGCUUGGAACCUGACAACGUGAUGAGCCUUGGAUUUCUGAUUGAGGAUAUUGAACCUUCUCGCCGUCUCGACUCUUCUGUUCGCGUGAACACGUUCACUGAGGGACUCGAGAGUGAAAACCUAACCAUCAUUGGAAUUUCUGAUUUAGAGAUCCAAUCUUCAACGGCUACUACGGCGUCUAGUUCCGGUGCAGCUUAUGUUGAUAGAUCAGCUGGCAGACUGUACAGCAGUACAGCAGAGACGAAAAAAUUGACUUCCAAUAUGACACCGUUAAAAAAUCCUUCCUCUGACUUCACCAUGGUGUCGGAGGCUAUCAUUGACAGGAACUUGGUGAGAAGUGGAGACUGGGGAUCACAAAUUCAGCCAUCAUCUAGUGCAGAAUCUGGUCCCGGUUCAUCUGACGAUAUCAACGAGGCAGCUGUCAAGUUGGCCGAUUUAAGCGUGUGUGAGAUUCCUCUAAUUUAACGUCCAUCUCAUGCGAGUGGGGCACCAGUUCGUAUUUCAAAAUCUAAUGUUGUGUUUACAGGAUUGUCGACUUCUGAUCAGCUGUUUUGUUUUUGUGAGAAAUGCUGUGAAGCUCACAAUGAACCUGGUUUGACAAUAGAGAAUGCUCACCUCCAUAAUGAAUAUAUUUCCACGAGAACCCAGGUAGAUCUUUGUAGACGUCCUGAAGGUAAGUCAUCUGAAAGAAGCCGGACAUUAUUGGAUGGAUGUGAUGAAGAUGGUGCAGAGGAUUUUUGUUCCUUUGAAAAGGACGAUGACCAUGAGAGACAUUGCGAGGGACACAUACGACAUCAUACGAGGAAAAGUGUGCAAAUCGUGCAAACGCUUCCUUCGCGGGGAAAUUUCGAUUGCUAAAGAGAUAACGGAACAUGAGAAAAGAGUAUUUUCUCAGAAGAAGCAUAGUAUUGGAGGAUCAGGAUUUAGCAACUGGAAAAUCCAGAAUCGUGUACCCAAACCAGGGAAGAGGAAGAUUGUGAAAGUAUUAGCAUCGGAGGGCCACAAUUAACUGUUCGAAAAACAAGCAUCGACAUCCAUAGCAUAUUAACAAAAGAUACUAGACCCAGAGAUUGUGAUUCUCAGACUCAGACCUUAUCAACUGAGGGAUUGGGGUGUAGGGACAUAGGUAUCAGCACAUCUGUAAACACUGCUUGUACCAGAAGGGGAGUGAGGGCCAGAAGAUCCUUGAAGCAAUCACAUACCAUGACCACGGAAGAAACAAAGGAAGAAUGCACCAGUUGUGUGCAAUCCCAUCCAAGGGGACCUCUUGAGCAGGCGCAAUCUCCUCUCAAGGCACUCACAGAGACAAAACACCGGUUAAAUAUGUCCCUGCUUGAGCAAUAUGAAUAUUUGGAGCUGCUUGGUAACAUUCUGGAGGAAGCUGCAAUACCAGCAACCGUGAAGUGCAAAUACUGCUACUUGCUGACAGGAUUAUCAAAGUUCGAGUCAAAACCGAAGUAAGACAAAUAUGGGAAAGAGGGACGGGACGUCAUAGAAAUGUUUGGAGCACGUGUAGAGCAGCUGAAUGGAAGGGAGGCUCCAAGACUUAUACGUGUUGGAGGCAGAAGCAGACGGGCUCUCUUUCAAUUACUUCGAAGUGAUCACCUUUGUGUGAACCGAGAAUUGUGUCUGCACAUGCUUCAAGCUUCACUUCUGGUGGCACUAGUGGCACAUACUCAAUGACCUGUGCGUGUAGGCUAUUGUGUAAAUCCUUGCAGAUAAUCACCUUGAACGACACAUUGUUGACACUUUUUCAAAAGAAGAGGACAUAAAAGAAAGAACAAUAAUUAAAUAAAGAGUUUGAUAACA